GACGAACGCUGGCGGCGUGCCUAAUACAUGCAAGUGGAACGCAUUGAUAUCACCGGAGCUUGCUCCACCGAUAUAAAUGAGUCGCGAACGGGUGAGUAACGCGUAGGUAACCUGCCUGAUAGCGGGGGAUAACUAUUGGAAACGAUAGCUAAUACCGCAUGAGAGUGUUUAACACAUGUUAGAGACUUAAAAGAUACAAUUGUAUCACUAUCAGAUGGACCUGCGUUGUAUUAGCUAGUUGGUAGGGUAGCGGCCUACCAAGGCAACGAUACAUAGCCGACCUGAGAGGGUGAUCGGCCACACUGGGACUGAGACACGGCCCAGACUCCUACGGGAGGCAGCAGUAGGGAAUCUUCGGCAAUGGACGAAAGUCUGACCGAGCAACGCCGCGUGAGUGAAGAAGGUUUUCGGAUCGUAAAGCUCUGUUGUAGCGGAAGAACGCGUGUAAGA
rnacentral:rRNA from 1 species